rnacentral:other from 1 species
UGAGUCCUGGGGUGUACGAUACUCUUACUUUUUUGAACCUACAUUUACGUUCAUGGGAUUCCGAUAUUUAUAAGUGGAUGUCGAGCCUCCGUUUGCAGUGGAUGGCUGAAGCUUAUGUGAGGUUGCCCACCUAGCUUAAGCUAGGGCGUCAAAACUGUAGGAAACGGCAUUUUGGGAUUAGA